rnacentral:rRNA from 1 species
UACGUAGGGCGCAAGCGUUGUCCGGAAUUAUUGGGCGUAAAGAGCUCGUAGGUGGCGUGUCGCGUCUGCCGUGAAAGCCCAUGGCUUAACUGUGGGUCUGCGAUGGAUACGGGCAGGCUGGAGGCUGGUAGGGGCAAGCGGAAUUCCUGGUGUAGCGGUGAAAUGCGCGGAUAUCAGGAGGAACACCGGUGGCGAAGGCGGCUUGCUGGGCCAGUUCUGACGCUGAGGAGCGAAAGCGUGGGGAGCGAACAGG